rnacentral:lncRNA from 1 species
UUCGGUCAUGAUUUUUCAUUGUGUAAAAAGUGAGGACUAUUGGAUCCAACGAUCCAAGAGUUAUACAAGAUUGAGAACCUCGAUGAAACAGAGAGCCGACAAAAUAUCUCUUCUCAUCGAUAGGGAUCUCCACCAUCAAAAGCUCUUCCACUAUCACGUGGAUCUCCGCCGCCGCCAUAGGCUCCUCCUCUGCCCCCCUAGGCUACUCCUCUGCCACCACAUACAAGCUCCUCCUCAAUCUCCAAAUAGGUCAUGUUUAGUCAAGAUUUUGAUACCCGAAUUUAAGGUCUAGGUCGAGAUUUCAGCCUAAAACUUGACCGUGACCGUUCAUCCAUAACGGUGCACUGGCGCGGCCCAAACGGUGUCUCGGGAGAGGGCUCACCGUCAUCGACACUGUCGAGACGGCGGCGCCCAGAUCAAGGUCCCUCUGCCGGCAACAUCUUUUCCGGUCGCGGCAGUCUACCCCUCACUACCAAUGUUGGCGGCGGUGGAAUGCGUCACCAGGUGACCUUGAUGCGCCGGACGCCGCACUGCUGCGGCUGCGGCCACUACCGCCCUCACGCGUCCCCACUCGGCCGCCAGCGUCGCUGUGGCUGGUGCGACAGCCUGUGCGUAUAUUAAGGACAGCCGCUCUGGCGGCCGAUGUCCGUCCGCGUCGACAUGCUACGGCUGCCACCCAGCCGUAGGACACCCGGCCGGCGUCUCCGGCGGCUAUCUGUGCGUGCGCCGCGCGGCCUCAAGCUGCUAUGCCGCGGCGGAUGUCUGCGCGGAAACGCCACGUGGAUGCUGCACGGCUGCCGAUGCGGCCGCUAGCGCCCUUGCACGUCCUGGCUGCCAAUGUGGCCAGCGGCUGCCCGUGUCGGUGCCCACAGCGCCGUAGGGACGCCGCUGCGGCCACCGUCUGCGCGGACGCCGCACGGCCGCGGCCGCGGCCGCUACCGCCGUUGCGCGUCCCGACCGCCAAUGCUGUCAGUGGAUGCGCGUGACGGUUCCCGCGUGCACCGCCUAUGCAAGCACUCGGUCUUGUAGUCCAGCCGCCCAUGCGUGUCGAAGAUGGCGGAAGUAUAGACCGGCGUCGCAAGACUGAGAAAUAAAAUCAGAAUAUAAGAACAGAGAUGACUAGCUCUGAUAACACUUUAUGAAAAUACUGACGUACUUCAAUUCACGACCAAUCAGGAAUAAUAACGUUAUUUGUAAAUCUUCUCCUAUAUUUUUUUGUUAUAUUUCCACAAUCAGAAUGAUGCAGCACACGUCAAGAGCCCAUCAACGAAGGAAAGUGAUUUCAAAGAAAUGACAUGCGAGAAUAACACCCUCAACGAAUCAUAUCUUAAUAGCCCUUCAAAUAAAGAAGAUCUAAUCAAGUUGAAGGAGGGAAUAUUGAGAAAGGUACGGACAUUACCCGUGAUCCAGCUGCCGUUCGCCCAUACCGUCAGAAGAAACGCCCCACAAUAGAAGGUUUCCUUUACUAUUAACUUUCUAUUAUUUCGUGUAGAGAGGCUUAUAAAUCGUCCCUCAAACUUCUAGUUUGACAGUGAAUUAGAUGGAGAGUUUCUUCCUUACCUGAUCGUGAGAUCCCGUCACCCCGACUUGGGUUGGUUAGAGGACCUCGCCGCUCCCGGUCUGGAGUACCCUUCUCCCUCCCUUCUUUCUUCUAUUGCCACCAAUUUUUAUUCUUGGCGCCGCUGAUACCACAUCACUUGCCUUUGUCACCGUCAUCACCUCCCUUUCACCGCUGCUGCCUACCCCUUGUCUUCCCCACCAUCGGUUGCCCUACAGCAAUCGUCAUUGCCUGCUUCCACCUCCUCUUCGUGGCCUUUCAUCGCCGACCUCUGCCGACCACCGCCGACCUCUGCCGUUCGCCACCAACUCCCGUCCCCGCCUUCCGCCGUCGCUGCCUACCUCUGCCGACCACUGCCACCCUCUACCGUUCGCCAUCGGCCUUCUGUCCUCCGCCAUCGCCGCCUUCCCCCCCCC